UGAUACUAAGCCAUGCGAGUCAUUGUAGCAAUACAAGGCAGACGGCUCAGUAACGCGUAGUCAAUCUACCCUAUGGACGGGAAUAAUCUCGGGAAACUGAGAAUAAUGCCCGAUAGAACAUUAUGCCUGGAAUGGUUUAUGUUUCAAAUGAUUUAUCGCCAUAGGAUGGGACUGCGGCCUAUCAGUUUGUUGGUGAGGUAAUGGCCCACCAAGACUAUUACAGGUACGGGCUCUGAGAGGAGUGGCCCGGAGAUGGGUACUGAGACACGGACCCAGGCCCUAUGGGGCGCAGCAGGCGAGAAAACUUUGCAAUGUGCGAAAGCACGACAAGGUUAAUCCGAGUGGUUUCUGCUAAAGAAACCUUUUGUCAGUCCUAGAAACACUAACGAAUAAGGGGUGGGCAAGUUCUGGUGUCAGCCGCCGCGGUAAAACCAGCACCUCAAGUGGUCAGGAUGAUUAUUGGGCCUAAAGCAUCCGUAGCUCGUUUUGUAAGUUUUCGGUUAAAUCCAUACGCUUAACGUAUGGGCUGCCGGGAAUACUGCAUAACUAGGAAGUGGGAGAGGUAGACGGUACUCGGUAGGAAGGGGUAAAAUCCUUUGAUCUAUUGAUGACCACCUGUGGCGAAGGCGGCCUACCAGAACACGUUCGACGGUGAGGGAUGAAAGCUGGGGGAGCAAACCGGAUUAGAUACCCGGGUAGUCCCAGCUGUAAACUAUGCAAACUCAGUGAUGCAUUGGCUUGUGGCCAAUGCAGUGCUGCAGGGAAGCCGUUAAGUUUGCCGCCUGGGAAGUACGUACGCAAGUAUGAAACUUAAAGGAAUUGGCGGGGGAGCACCACAAGGGGUGAAG
rnacentral:rRNA from 1 species